rnacentral:rRNA from 1 species
GUGGGGAAUCUUAGACAAUGGGCGCAAGCCUGAUCCAGCCAUGCCGCGUGAGUGAUGAAGGCCCUAGGGUUGUAAAGCUCUUUCACCGAUGAAGAUAAUGACUGUAGUCGGAGAAGAAGCCCCGGCUAACUUCGUGCCAGCAGCCGCGGUAAUACGAAGGGGGCUAGCGUUGUUCGGAAUUACUGGGCGUAAAGCGCACGUAGGCGGGUAUUUAAGUCAGGGGUGAAAUCCCAGAGCUCAACUCUGGAACUGCCUUUGAUACUGGGUACCUAGAGUAUGGAAGAGGUAAGUGGAAUUCCGAGUGUAGAGGUGAAAUUCGUAGAUAUUCGGAGGAACACCAGUGGCGAAGGCGGCUUACUGGUCCAUUACUGACGCUGAGGUGCGAAAGCGUGGGGAGCAAACAGGAUUAGAUACCCUAGUAGUCC